GUCAGACGUGAAAGCCUUCUGUUCAACGGAAGAAUUGCAUCUGAAACUACAAACCUUGAGUGUAGGAGGGGAGAAUGGAACUUCUGGUGGAGCGGUGAAAUGCGUAGAUAUCAGAAGGAACGCCGGCGGCGAAAGCGAUUCUCUGGCCUAUUACUGACACUCAGUGUGCGAAAGCUAGGGGAGCAAACGGGAUUAGAUACCCCGGUAGUCCUAGCCGUAAACGAUGGGCACUAAGUAAAGGGGUU
rnacentral:rRNA from 1 species